CCUAGCGACCAUAGUGCUGCAGAACCACCUGUCCCCAUUCCGAACACAGAAGUGAAAUGCAGUGUACGCCGAUGGUAGUGCAACGUACGAUUGUGCGAGAGUAGGUCAUCGCUAGGU
rnacentral:rRNA from 1 species